CUGAGAUAUUGAUUGCUCUAUCAUGCUUCAGAAUCGUCAAGCUGGAGAUCAUCAACAAGAAAAUAACACCCAAUCUUCAAGGCCUCAGGUAACACUCUCUGGGCUUCUUAAUGCCAUAGAUGGCCUUCUGUCAUGCUGUGGAAAUGAAAGGAUUAUAGUUUUCACUACUAACUA